UACGUAGGGAGCAAGCGUUGUCCGGAAUCAUUGGGCGUAAAGCGCGCGUAGGUGGCUUCAUAAGUCCGCCGUGAAAGUCCAGGGCUCAACCCUGGAAUGCCGGUGGAAACUGUCGGGCUGGAGUCCGGAAGAGGCGAGUGGAAUUCCUGGUGUAGCGGUGAAAUGCGCAGAUAUCAGGAGGAACACCAAUGGCGAAGGCAGCUCGCUGGGACGGUACUGACGCUGAGACGCGAAAGCGUGGGGAGCAAACAGG
rnacentral:rRNA from 1 species